rnacentral:rRNA from 1 species
UACGUAGGGGGCAAGCGUUGUCCGGAAUUAUUGGGCGUAAAGCGCGCGCAGGCGGCUUUGUAAGUCUAGUGUUUAAUCUCGGAGCUCAACUCCGAUUCGCACCGGAAACUGCAAGGCUUGAGUACAGAAGAGGAAAGUGGAAUUCCACGUGUAGCGGUGAAAUGCGUAGAGAUGUGGAGGAACACCAGUGGCGAAGGCGGCAUCCUGGACCGACACUGACGCUGAGGAGCGAAAGCCAGGGGAGCAAACGGG